GACGAACGCUGGCGGCGUGCUUAACACAUGCAAGUCGAACGGAAAGACCCUGCUUUUGUGGGGUGCUCGAGUGGCGAACGGGUGAGUAACACGUGAGUAACCUGCCCUUGACUUUGGGAUAACUUCAGGAAACUGGGGCUAAUACCGGAUAGGAGCUCCUGCUGCAUGGUGGGGGUUGGAAAGUUUCGGCGGUUGGGGAUGGACUCGCGGCUUAUCAGCUUGUUGGUUGGGUAGUGGCUUACCAAGGCUUUGACGGGUAGCCGGCCUGAGAGGGUGACCGGCCACAUCGGGACUGAGAUACGGCCCAGACUCCUACGGGAGGCAGCAGUGGGGAAUAUUGCACAAUGGGCGGAAGCCUGAUGCAGCAACGCCGCGUGCGGGAUGACGGCCUUCGGGUUGUAAACCGCUUUCGCCUGUGACGAAGCGUGAGUGACGGUAAUGGGUAAAGAAGCACCGGCUAACUACGUG
rnacentral:rRNA from 1 species